GAUGAACGCUGGCGGCGUGCCUAAUACAUGCAAGUCGAGCGAACAGACGAGGAGCUUGCUCCUCUGACGUUAGCGGCGGACGGGUGAGUAACACGUGGAUAACCUACCUAUAAGACUGGGAUAACUUCGGGAAACCGGAGCUAAUACCGGAUAAUAUAUUGAACCGCAUGGUUCAAUAGUGAAAGACGGUUUUGCUGUCACUUAUAGAUGUAUCCGCGCCGCAUUAGCUAGUUGGUAAGGUAACGGCUUACCAAGGCAACGAUGCGUAGCCGACCUGAGAGGGUGAUCGGCCACACGGGAACUGAGACACGGUCCAGACUCCUGCGGGAGGCAGCAGUAGGGAAUCUUCCGCAAUGGGCGAAAGCUUGACGGAGCAACGCCGCGUGAGUGAUGAAGGUCUUCGGAUCGUAAAACUCUGUUAUUAGGGAAGAACAAAUGUGUAAGUAACUAUGCACGUCUUGACGGUACCUAAUCAGAAAGCCACGGCUAACUACGUG
rnacentral:rRNA from 1 species